rnacentral:rRNA from 1 species
UACGGGGGGAGCAAGCGUUGUUCGGAUUUACUGGGCGUAAAGGGCGCGUAGGCGGUCGUGACAAGUCACUUGUGAAAUCUCCGGGCUUAACUCGGAACGGCCAAGUGAUACUGCAGUGCUAGAGUGUGGAAGGGGCAAUCGGAAUUCUUGGUGUAGCGGUGAAAUGCGUAGAUAUCAAGAGGAACACCUGAGGUGAAGACGGGUUGCUGGGCCAACACUGACGCUGAUGCGCGAAAGCCAGGGGAGCAAACGGG